CGGCGGACGGGUGAGUAACGCGUGGGUAACCUGCCUUGUACUGGGGGACAACAGUUGGAAACGACUGCUAAUACCGCAUAAGCGCACAGCUUCGCAUGAAGCAGUGCGAAAAACUCCGGUGGUACAAGAUGGACCCGCGUCUGAUUAGCUGGUUGGUGAGGUAACGGCCCACCAAGGCGACGAUCAGUAGCCGGCCUGAGAGGGUGAACGGCCACAUUGGGACUGAGACACGGCCCAA
rnacentral:rRNA from 1 species